UUUCAGAUGGCAGCCUUCAAGGCAACCUCCCUAGCUAUCUCCCUCUAAGCCUCAAACCAAUCCCCUGACUUGACUUCUAAUAACCUUUAAAGGUCUGGGAAGUUCCCUAUCACAUGGUUUAGUUCAGCCCAGAAUAUGUACCACAUAUCAUAAUUGAGAAUGGUCGAGCCACAGCACAGACCGCUCUACUCCAGAGACAACUCUGGGGGAUGAGGCCUGAUUCAGUCACCUCAACCAGUGGAUAUCAGCUGAGGGAUCAGCUCCAGAAACCUAGACACUCAGGGGUCCCUCCUGCAAAGACGUCUACCAUUGGACUUGGGAGAUCCUCAAAGGCAGAGAGAGCUGUGCUCUUCAUGCACUGAAUUACCUACCAUUCGCCACUGAACUUAAUGCCUAGCAAGUCACAAGCACGCCCUGAAAAGGCCUCAGUCACCAGCUACUUUUACCAGUGCGAACAAUAACCCUGCUCUAGAUGUCGCUGUUCCUUGGUCAACUUCCAAGACCGGAUCUGGCCACCUUCUGCUUCCCAGCCACAACCCGCAUCCCAGAGGCUCCCGUGGUCUCAGCAAUGUGAUCCCUCCCUGAAGCCAGCCUGGGGCAGUGCCUACCAUGUCCACCUCGGAGAUGCUGUCCAGACUCUCCACCUGCACGUCCACACCCACAGGGAUGGCCGGGCCUGCGGGGGAGCAAAGACAGCUGAUUAAGACACAGUCGGCUCCACUAGGGGUUGAGCUUUCCCUGUGGAGCAAGGGGUUGCCUCAGGGAUGUGGCAGGGACUCCGAAGUCCAGGUGGGGUGUUUUCUGCUAAUUCCUGAAGUAUAAGGUGUCUACACGUUAUCACUGAGGUCAGAGACUGGGUCUACACUACACGCUGUUCCUAGGCGGAAGUGAAUGCUCUCUGUGCUUGCUGGGCAGGCUACGAGCCGGAUUACACCCACCUCCAUUCUAGGCUGUGUCUACAGGGUAGCGGGAAGUCAGCGUAUGUGACCCCCAGUCCCUGAGUGGAGACCUCAAUCACUGACCUAAGGCUGGAUCACCUUCCUACAGAGAAGCUAACACACAGCUGGAGAUCCGCCAUAUUGUAGUAGCUUUUAGUCUAGUAUGAGAUGAGAUGUCUAACCGAUUACAUCACAGUGCAAGACAGCGCUGCAGAAGGUUGAAGGCGCAUCGAGUGAGAUUCUAUGGCCAGGUUUCUACAAGCAUUCAUCUGUGAGUUUAUCUAGGCGGGCCAUCUUUUUCUUGAACUGAAUGACAGGCACUUUAUGAGUUUACUUAGUGGCCUCCCACUGUCAUCCAGUUCAAGAAAAAGAUGAGCUGAGCACUUAGCCUGUGUACUGUUUACACAUGUAUACUGUAGAAAGAAACUUUUAAAUGGGUCUGAGACCCAUGAUACCAGAUAUAGUGCAUGACUAAUCCCAGCUAGUCAGGGGGCUAAGUCAGGAGGAUUGAAUUUUGAGGCCAGUCUUGGCAACUCAGCUGGACCAGGUCUCAGGUAUUUUUUUUUCUUUUUAAAUAAAAAAAAUAUUUUUAAUAUUAAAACCAUAAAAGGAGAAAACUAA